UACGUAGGGUGCGAGCGUUGUCCGGAAUUGUUGGGCGUAAAGGGCUCGUAGGCGGUUUGUCGCGUCGGGAGUGAAAACCUUGGGCUUAACUCAGGGCUUGCUUUCGAUACGGGCAGACUAGAGGUAUGCAGGGGAGAACGGAAUUCCUGGUGUAGCGGUGAAAUGCGCAGAUAUCAGGAGGAACACCGGUGGCGAAGGCGGUUCUCUGGGCAUGAUCUGACGCUGAGGAGCGAAAGUGUGGGGAGCGAACAGG
rnacentral:rRNA from 1 species